rnacentral:rRNA from 1 species
CAGUAGCCGCGGUAACACGGAGGGAGCUAGCGUUGUUCGGAAUUACUGGGCGUAAAGCGCGCGUAGGCGGUUACUCAAGUCAGAGGUGAAAGCCCGGGGCUCAACCCCGGAGCUGCCUUUGAAACUAGGUGACUAGAAUCUUGGAGAGGUCAGUGGAAUUCCGAGUGUAGAGGUGAAAUUCGUAGAUAUUCGGAAGAACACCAGUGGCGAAGGCGACUGACUGGACAAGUAUUGACGCUGAGGUGCGAAAGCGUGGGGAGCAAACAGGAUUAGAUACCCCAGUAGUCCCUGUCUCUUAUAC